CUUUGAUCAGAAUCUCCCCUGCUUUUUGUUCCUCCCUAGUGACGUCACCGACUCGCGCAGCGGCGGUGCUACCCUCCGGGAAGCGGAGAACCAGUCCAGUGUCUCCUCCGCCGACCGCGUCCUUCGGCAGUGUUGUGUUUGUUUUUAGUGUGAAAACACCCUCAACGAAACACGAACGUUCGGGAAAUCUGCGAGUUGGUCUUAGUGGAGUUUGUCGGAGUUUGUAAGAAGUUGUGCUAGUUGUUGGGAGACAGAACCGAGGAGGAGGAGAAAUGUUGCUGGUGUUGUUUUGAACCAGCUCCAUUUUCCUCCGGAGAGAGCGGGGGGAGACAGAAGAUAGACAGUAGAAGGAAAGGAGAGAUGGCCGAAGCGCGGACAGACGAGGAAGAGGAGGGUGGACUGGAGACGUCGGAAGAACCAGUGGUUCGCCGACAACCGAGGCCAGGCGCCGGUGGAGCACUGCCAGCGUGGGAGACUCUGGGAGAGGGAUGCAGUCAUGUUGUUUUAAGAGAGAGAGAGAGAGAGAGAGAGAGAGACACGACCACGACCAAUCAGAAGAUCAGGGAGCAGAGAGGGGCUCUAGGGAGAGGCGGACGACACGUUGCUGUGGUCUUGUGGAGUUUGGGAGUUUCUGCUUGUUGCUGUGCUUUUAGCUUUUAGCUCGUACGAGAGAUCGCCCUAACAGACGUAAGCCAGAACAUCGUCACAGGUAAGACUUUGCUUCCUGUCUUUCUUCUCCUGCCUCUGUUUCCUGCACUUCCUUUGCUAUGACCCCGGACCCCUAUGGAAAUUCGGUGUUGGGAAAUGUAACAAUUUUUCCUGCCUUUUAGGAAACGUGGAUGCUUAAGAGUUCAAAGUGGGGCAACCUUUACUGAUGUGGAUGUUUGCAUCAAGUGUUUCUGUCUCUUAUUGUGUGGUGUGUAUAUCCAUUUGUUUGGAGUGUAGUAGUAGAGCAGUAGUUAGUCCCUGUAGGCCUUUGACUUCACUCUUCCUCUAUUUAAAGUCAUCCGGCUGUCUUUUGGUCUGCUUGACGACCGGCUGGAGAGGGUCUGUUGUGUGUGUGAGGUCAUUGUUUGUGUAAUGGUGGUGGAGGAAGAGGAGGUGGUGGUUUUAUGUUCUCCUAAAAAGCCGAUCCGCGUCGAAGAAAAGACAGAACGUUUAGAAAAGGAAGAAGAAGGAUUAAUGUGUGAUAAACAUGUGCGGCAUUGUCAUGUAGUAGUUAUUACUUUUCCUUUGGUAGCGGGGGUGAACGUAAUCUGGAACAACUAAAUGAAUCAUCUCCAUUUCCUCCCUCUUCAAUUUCCUAAGGAGAGGGUGAGAUGGAGGUUAAAUGUGACUUCUCUUGUUUCUGAUGUCUCUCUCUCUCUCUCUCUCUCUCUCUCUCUCUCUCUCUCUCUCUCUCUCUCUCUCUCUCUCUCUCUCUCUCU
ensembl:lncRNA